GGUAAUUUCCUUUGUUCCUUGCUUUCUUUGGCAGGACAUUGGAAGAUUAGCAUGGCCCCUGUGCAAUGAUGACACACAAAUUCAUGAAGCGUUUCCAUAUUUU